ensembl:lncRNA
GGAAGAUUAGCCCGGAGCUAACUGCUGCCAAUCCUCCUCUUUUUGCUGAGGAAGGCUGGCCCUGAGCUAACAUCUGUGCCUGUCUUUCUCUGCUUUACAUGUGGAACGCCUGCCACAGCAUGGCUUGCAUCCAGGAUCCAAACCAGCAAACCCGGGCCACCGAAGCGGAACAUGCACACUUAACAGCUGUGCCACCAGGCUGGCCUCAGAUUUUUUAUUUCUUUGUAGACGAAUGUAUAAAGACAGCCCAAAAGGACGAAGAUGCAAGGCAUGCAUAUGUCAUUUGGUCAAAGAACGAUGAGAAAUCAAACUGUACUCUCUGCAAGUGCCAACGAAUUGUUCUGCUACUGGCGGUCCUUGUCAGAUGCUGGGACUCCUGCUUUUGUUACUGAAUGUGGAAAAUAAAACUGUUAAGACUAAUUGAAGAUAAUGGGAUAAAAAUCUAUAGCUGAAAUCAACCUCCUCUACAUCAAUUAGAUGAAAGUAAUUCACUGAAAGUUAUUUGCUGGACAUGCAAUAGUCAUGCAGUGCCUGCUUGUGUAGCUUAAAAACACGCUACAAACAUUUUUAAACAUGAAGGUACAAAGUGAUUAAUAUAGAUAGAGACACUCUUCUAGGGCUGUGUGUGUGCGUGUGUCUCAACACACAACUUUGGCCUACGUGUGCACCUUAUUGUAAGACCUUGCAACGUCAAGAUAUUUCACAGGGUGAAAUCCCGCUUCCUGUGUGGCAGCUCCACACGGGACCAGAAAUCAUGCAGUCAGACUGACUGACUUUGGCUGACUGAGUUUUAAAGAGGAUCAAAAACCUUUUAGUAUAAAAAGAAAAAAAGGCUCUACCAUAUUGCAGUGGUCCUUUUAAGACCUCCCACAUGGCUGCUCUGAGUGACAGGUCUGACAUCCCUCAAAAUUCCCACAGCAUUCCAGCUAAUUACUUAGAAACAGAUAAACCCACCAAAAGCCAACCAGUAAGUAGGAACGUAUGCGAGGAGUGAUCUCAUCCUGGGUUUCUCAAGGAGACAACACAGACAUGGAAAAGAAAGACAGGCAAAAAGAGUAAUUGAUGGUUUUUAUUCCAUUUUCCUUCUUCCCUCCUUGUCCUUCUGUUUUGAUCAUUGGAAUUUCACAGUAAAUACACACUCUGUGAAAGAUAUUAGUGCAUGUUCACUGUCCAGGUAUUUGGUUUCAUGAAAUCACUGAACCUUAUUAGAAGCUAAAGCAUCAAAAUUUUAACAGGCAUUAUCCUGGAAUGAUAUUUAUACUAUUAGGAAUCUCUGGAAAAUUAAAAAACCAUAAUUGUAAGCAGUUGUUUAAGGGAAAGAUUUUCUGAAGUCAGUGGACAAUAGAUUUCAAGACUUUGACAUAGAAGUUUAAAAAAUUAUCAAUCUUUCUUUUUUGUGCCUAGCUUAAGAAAUUCUUUCCUAGAUAUAUCUAGAGAAAAAAAAGAUAAAUCUAGAUAUAUAAUAAAAACAUUCUUAUAUUAUCUUCAAAUUUUGAGCUUUGCUUUUUCAAAUUUAAGUAUUCCUAAUUUGGAAUUUAUUUUUGUCUGUAGUGUGAGAUACUUCGAUUUUAUUUUUUUAAUCAGAAAUGAAAUGGUCUCAUCAGUAUAAUUGCUUUAAUGAUUUCUCAUGCCAAAGCUGUAUGUCAUAAGUGAUGCCUCCAUGUGCAUGUGAUUCUAUUUCUCAGCUCUCCAAGGUCUUAUUAUAUAGCACCAGACAACCAGAAUUCACACUUCAGUACCUCCACUUACUAGAAGUGUGAUCAGUUGGAUUGUGGUAGUUUUCAAGGUCUUCCAGAGGAGAAAAUCAUAACUAGAUUCUUAGGUAUUACGUCUAUAGGCUGAGUGCCGCUGAUGGAAACAACAGGGAGCUGAUUUUAUGCCCUCUGUCCUGUCAAGAAAAGAUGCACCCUUUGAGCAUCCAUUAUGACCCUUUCUGACAUUAACCCUUGAGGUCCUCAAGGAGCCUCAGCUCUGCAGGGAAAGUCUCCCAGGAUGCUGCUGCCCAUUCUCUGUCACCUCAGUUACAAAGAUACCGUAUAAUCCUCCCAUCUUCUUUCUUAAAUUUAUGUUUAAAUUUCCCCAUGUUUUCCCUGAAUAUCUCCUAUAGGUGUUUUUAUUUUUGUAUUUUGACUAUGUAAUGUAGCUCUGUCCUUAUAAAUGUUUCCCUCCUUUUUGUAAGUCAAAAUGAAUUUGCUAUAUUCUUACCUGUCAGAGAUUACAUUUAAGAUUACAUCUCUCACUUUAAGGUUGUCAUGAGCAAAUUUAACAAUAUGUAUUUAUACCAGUGAAAACAAAUAGACUCUCAUUAAGACAAAACUUCUCUCUAGCCUACCUACAAGCCAAAAAAACCCAAAAAACAAAACUGCGCAACUGAGAUCUAAUUCUGCCAUUUAGAAAAAUUCUCCAGGGAGCCGACCCCAUGGCCGAGUGGUUAAGUUCCUGAGCUCCGCUUCAGUGGCCUGGGGUUUUGCGGGUUCGGAUCCUGGGCACGGACAUGGCUCAUCAGGCCACGUUGAGGCGGUGUCCCACAUACCACAACUAGAACGACCUGCACCUAGGAUAUACAACUGUGUGCCAGGGGGAUUUGGGGAAAUAAAGCAGAAAAAAAAAAAAAAAAAAGAUUGGCAACAUUUGUUAGCUCAGGUGCCAAUCUUUAAAAAAAAAAAAAAGAAAAAUUCUUCAGAUUGAUGAGUAUUCUGGUAUUUGUGGUUAUUUUGCUUAUUCAAAGUUCCAUGAAUUUUAUAUUUGCAUACUUCUAUCAAAGCUUGCAAACUCUCUUUUUGAAAUUUCAAAAUUCUUUAUUUUAUUUUAUUUUUUAAAUUGAGAUUCAGAAUAGUUUACAUCAUCUUGAAAUUUCAGUGGUACAUUAUUUCUUGUCUGUCACCAUGUACGUGCUCCCCUUCACCCCCUGUGGCCACCUUCCACCCCGCUUCCCCUGGUAAUCACUGAACUGUUUUCUUUGUCCAUGUGUUCAUUUAUAUUCCACAUAUGAGUGAAAUCAUCUGGUGUUUGUCUUUCUCAGUCUGACUUAUUUCACUUAGCAUAAUACCCUCCAGGUCCAUCCAUGUUGUUGCAAAUGGGAUGAAUUUGUCUUUUAUUCUGGCUGAGUAGUAUUCCAUUGUAUGUAUAUACCACAUCUUCUUUAUCCAAUCAUCAGUCAAUGGGCACUUGGAUUGUUUCCAUGUCUUGGCUGUGGUGAAUAGUAGAGCUUGCAAACUCUUGAUUGGACACUAAUAAUUUUUUUCUUGUCCUGCAGUGGGAGGGGCUGAGUGGCCCAUUUGCUGCCAGUAUCCACAUAUAUGCCAGAAUAUAUAGAAAAAUAUGAGAAAAUAAUAAAUAUAAUUAUUAUUGAUUUUAUGUUAUUUGUAUAAUAAAUAUAAGUAGUCAUUACCCUAGUCAUAGUCUUUGGUUAGUUUUUGUCUAUUUGUUAACCUGAUUAUAGCUUGAGAGAAUUAGUUAUUUUGUGUUGUUUUGGAUAUGGUUACUUAUCUCCUCUAAAUAUCAGUUUCUUUAUCUCUAAAAUGGUAACCAUAGUGACUUUUCAGGGUCCCUAUCAGGAUUAAAUGAGAUAGUAUACAAAGAAUUUAGCAGAACAAGAAUUGCCAUAUAAUUGAUGGUUAAAAAUGGAAGAUAGCAGUAAGAGUAUGUUUUCGUAAAUAUUAGGAUUGAAACACUUGUGUAUUAUAUUCUCAUAUACUUGCACUAUAUGUUUAUUUAAUGAGAAAUAUUUAUAACUAUCCUACAUACAUUUCAAUAUUUUAAAUUAUUAAACAUUAGAAAUCUAAUAUCUCUUAGUCAUAUUUUCUCUACCACGUACAUUAUUUGAAUUACUAAUCAUGAUACUGACUUUUUCAAGAGAACAGGCAAAUUGCCUUAUAGAAUGGCUGGACUUUUUAAGAAUCAAAAUUGACUGAAAAAUUUCAUGCAAUUGAAGACUAGGGUGGGGUUGAAAGGGGAAGUUUGGAGAAAGAAUAAUGUUCUGUUUACUCCUUCCUGACUCCAGCUCAUUUAGCGAAUUGAUCCCACGAUUAUAUCCCACAAAAAUAUAAUAUCAGUUUAAUUUAUGAAAAAUAUCCAGGAAGGUAUUAACGUAUUCUUAAAUACUGAUCAAGGAGGUAAGUUCACUCUUAACCCUCACUUAUUUUAAGUGUUUUAUAGCUAAAAUAAUAACACCAUAUUUGCUGAUUUUGGAG